GAUGAAGAACGCAGCGAAAUGCGAUACGUAAUGUGAAUUGCAGAAUUCAGUGAAUCAUCGAGUCUUUGAACGCACAUUGCGCCCCUGGUAUUCCGGGGGGCAUGCCUGUCCGAGCGUCAUUGCUGCCCUCAAGCACGGCUUGUGUGUUGGGCCUCCGUCCUCCUCCCGGGGGACGGGCCCGAAAGGCAGCGGCGGCACCGCGUCCGGUCCUCGAGCGUAUGGGGCUUCGUCACCCGCUCUUGUAGGCCCGGCCGGCGCUUGCCGACACAUCAAUCUUUUUUCCAGGUUGACCUCGGAUCAGGUAGGGAUACCCGCUGAACUUAAGCAUAUCAAUAAGCGGAGGA
rnacentral:misc_RNA from 1 species